AGCUGCAAUUUAUCAGAUUUUGGGAUGCUAGAAACGUGAAAAUUUUUCAAGGAAAAAAUGUACUUAUAGAGUUAGUUAUGCAAUAGGUGAAAGAUGUAAUUAUGGGGAGAUUAGAGCCAUUGCUACCUACUAAGCUGGGAAGGUAGAAUGCUUAUUUGAUACAAACUAUAUGUAAUUAGGUAAUUUGAUUGAGACUCGCAG
rnacentral:lncRNA from 1 species